rnacentral:snRNA from 1 species
GUCCUCUGGCAGUACAAAUACUAAAAUUGGAAUGAUACAGAGAAGAUUAGCAUGGCCCCUGUGCAAGGAUGACAUGCAAAUUCAUGAAGCGUUCCAUCUUUUU